rnacentral:rRNA from 1 species
UACGUAGGGGGCAAGCGUUGUCCGGAUUUAUUGGGCGUAAAGAGCUCGUAGGUGGUUCGGUAAGUCGGAUGUGAAAUCUCCAGGCUCAACCUGGAGGGGUCAUUCGAUACUGCCGUGACUAGAGUUCGGUAGGGGAGUGUGGAAUUCCUGGUGGAGCGGUGAAAUGCGUAGAGAUCCGGAGGAACACCGAAGGCGAAGGCAGUGUCCUGGCGAGUGACUGACGCUGAGGUGCGAAAGCCAGGGGAGCGAACGGG